rnacentral:sRNA from 10 species
GCUCUGUUCUUGUGUUUUUUUUUCUUCUCUGAGACAAGUCCGAAUCUUUAAAAUGGGAAGACCUUUUUACGCCAAAACUCCAUUUCAAAACUGGUCGGUUCCAGCCCUCUUAGCUCAAAUUUUCGCCGCAGCCAAACAGAAAAUUAGCACAGCCAGAGUUUCCACUCUUCGGGUUAAUAUAUUGAAUAUGCCUUAAUCUUCCAUUUUGCGCCUUCGUGAUUUCUUAAAUUUAAUGUUGGAUGCGUUUUUUUUUUCUGUUGUUGUUUGUUGAUUGAUUCCAAUCUUUACUUUGUGUAAACUUCUUGUUCACUACUAUUUUGGAACUUUGUUGAAUGUAGAGAAGGAUUUCUUUGAGCAAUUAUUCACUAUUAUGUUUUCACCGCAUUUGAUCAUAAUACUUUUACGAAAGAAGUAAGUUUCAAGUUUGUUAUUAUAUAUUCCCUUGAUUUCAAAUUGGACCAUCACCAGGAGACAAAAAUAUGAAUUGAUUAUACGUUGUAAUGUGUGAAUAUAGGAAUUCUACUUGAUUAUGUUGGAGAAAUCUGUUUAAAUUUAGUAAUAAUAUAUUUGGUUAUUUCCUUUAUUUUUCUCUUACUAACUGUAGAUUUUGUUAAAUGUCAAAACAAGUUAUUCGUGUAUAUUCUGGAAUAUUUCUUGUUUCUGUCAAUUUAAACCUUCAGCACAUUGGGUUUAAUAUUGUGCAACUGGCAGUCAUAACAUCCUGCUGCUAACUGACCCUUCUGUACUGUACAGUGAGGAAAUGCACAGGCCGAUACGUAAAACUAAUAUUCUACAUUAUGAUAGUAAUUCCAAUGGUUCUGGUAUACGGAACUUUCAUUAUGCAAAUUGUGAAAAUUUUUCUGCCCGUGCUUUAUUCCUUACUAGGAGCAACUUGUCCAUAUGAUUUUUCCAAUUUUUUUUUCAUCUUGCCAUAUGGUAUAGGGCCAUGGGCCAAACUCAAUGACAGGAUAUAUCGUUUUAUGUUUUUAUGCCAUGACAAAUUGAUGAGCUGGUGAAACAAUUUAGUGGCUGAAAAAUAAUGCGUGGUCAUGAUUUUUUGCCAGCUAACAUUCUACUUUACAUUACAUGCGAAAGAUGUUUUGCACUUGGUUCUAUUGUUAGUUUUAAUCGUAUUAAUUUUCUCUUUCAGUCUCUUUGAAGACAGAUAAAUUUCAGCCUGCAUAAAACUCUAUUCACUGUAUUUGCUUAGCUAUCUAAUUAUUUUACACCAUGUUAGCACCCUCUUAGUAUACAAAUGAGAGCCACCUUAAGAAGCAAAUUAAACUGGCGUCAGGCUAUUAUUAUCAGUUUGUCUUAAAGCAUAUCAUUGGUAUUCAUUCUUUAUCUAUGAAGCUAUUGGUUAUGCAUUGUAUGUGCAUUUGUGGUGUGACUAAGUGCUAAUGUAUCUAGUAUGAAGCUCAAACAUAGUAUUCCUUGCAUUAGAAUAUAAUUAAUAUAAUUAUUCUUCUUUUGGUAAAUAUGAAUAUAAUUAUUCAUAUAAAGAAAGAGAUACACUUAGAUUAUUUGAGCAAUGGGUAAGAGUGAAUGCACUGCUAGAUUUCCCUUGGUUUUGUAAGAGCCAAUGCAUUGUUAGCACUUUACUUUUCUGUUAUUUAACCUCGAAUAUGUCACCAACAUUCAGUAUAAAAUGUCCAUUGAGUAGCACAUUACCUUUCAGUCUCGAUGUGCAGCUCUCAUUUAGUAGUAGUAUUUAAAUGUGCUUCAUAUUCUCAAGCCAUUAUCAAGCGUCAAGGUUUCUUCAAUUCUGAUAUUGUUCUCUGCUGAUGUAUGUUCACUUAGCGUUCAUAUUUGAAUCUCUUUGUUUCUCCUGUUAGUUUUUUAGUAGUUUUAUACAUGUUCUAUUUUGUUUGAAAAAAUUUUAGUUCUGAACAGUAGUUUCUUAGUUUUAGGUCAGGCUCAUCUUGAUAUAAACACAGAGAGAAAGUAUAAGUUAGAUGAGGUAAUGGGUGAUUUAAAUUUCAAAUCAUUUCUUCUGGUUACAUAUGAUACAGUCUGAUGCUUUUGAUAUUUCUAAUUUAAUUUUUUUUCUAUCUUCUUUAUUGUUUUAUUAAUAUUCUUUUUCUUAGACAUUGAUAUAAACACUGAAGUGCCUACCUUAGAAUUUUUAUGUUCUCUUUCUUUCAGAAUCACCCUAUGAACCGUGACCCAUUUCAUAUAAGGCUGCUGAAUUUGGAUAAACACCUUACAUCUCCCACCCCAGCAAUUGUGCUUAUGUACCCAGGAAAUGUCAAUUAUGAUUAUCUGGCGGGACAAAGGAGAAGAUGAGGAGGAAGAGGAAGAUGACACGGACAAAGAUGCUAAUGAGUAUUGAUCAAAUCAGUUAUCUACCAACAUAGUUUUGCUUGAGUAAAGGCUUGGCACAGCCAUAAAUUUGGCUUAGGUGAGAAGGAAAAUCAACAGGGCUUCAGAGAUUGUGGUGGGGGUACAAAGUAUGAAAUGAUGCCGGAAUGGGGUUAAGCUUUGCUGCCCAUUGAUUUAUCAAACCAAUUCUACAACAACAUCAAUAAGCAUGGGAUUGAAAUGACUAUCUUCUACCUGCAUGCUACAUGAGAAACUCAACAAUAUUAACACCGUAAUCCCUGAUGUUCCUGGAAGAGUUUAUGCUGGUUGGUGAUGAAAGUAGAUUCUGUCUUGAUGCGACUGGGGUUGGAAAUUUCAAUUUAUUUUAGCAGAACAAAGAAGGAAUGAAUGGAUCAUAUGGAGUUUCAAGAUUUCAUAUCAAUUUGAGUCAAUAUGUCCUGGAUACACAUGUAUAGGCUUGGAAAACUACAAAGUAAAUGCAGCGGUACAUAGCAACUGUAAGAAGGCUUGCAAUAAUCAUCAUUACAUUUGGUGAAAGAACAUAGCUCAGUGUCAUAGUUUCUAAUGGGAUAUAAUCAGGAGAAUUGUUGAAUUUGAUGAGGAUCGUUACUUGAUCCUGUUUACAUUUCUCCAAAGCCAGUGACUAUUGAAAUUUAUAUGGAGGUUCAAGGACAGAUAAUACUGCUAUAACUUGUAGGUUGUCCUUACAAUACUAUCAAGAACUUUUCUUUGUAAUUAGCAUGCAAGAGACAAUGGAGGACAAGCACCAUCCUCAAUGAUUAUAGGAGAAACCUGUGGUGCCGAAAUACGGUGUGAAUUUGAGUUCAAGAGCAGCAAUGCUACCUGUGGUACCAAAAAGAAAGCAAUGCCUGACUAAAGAAAUGAAACCAAUAAAGAGAAUCUGGGAAAAAGUUUGAUCAAAUUAAAUGUCACAAGAUUCAACAUGGGCAACUAAAUUGAAGUCAGAGAGGAUGAUGACAAAGUUGAGGAUGACAAACAGGAAAAGAAGAAAAGGAUUCUGAAGAGGUUGAAAAGGAGAAAAUGCAAGGAUAUUUAAAAAACAAAAAAAAACUGAAAUGAGAAAAUUCCUCAGUUAUAUGUAGAAUCAACAAAAUAAUGUUCUAAUGGUUACGUCAGAUGGGGCAAGGGGUAAAGAAUUAGUUUAUAAAACGUCUUGGGGCAGCUUUUAACGGAUUUUGAAGAUCCAGUUUGUGUGGGUGGUUUUGCUGAUCAAAAUAGUGGACUGGAAUAGGUUUUGAUGAGAAUAUGCAUGAACUUUGAGAUGCGAGAAAAUGUUCUGAAUGGACUGAUGCUGUGAGGUUUUUCAGGCUGUUUUAGGCAUCACUUCGUGUGAAAGGGAGGAUUCUUUUAUUGAAAGACGCCUGGUGUUUUGUGCAUGAUGUUGAAGACAUUGUGGUUGCUGAAAUCUGAUUGUGGGUAUAUCACCAUGGACAGCUAAUUCUCUCAAGGAUAAGAUCAACAGGGAAAGAGCAGUUGAGAGAAAACCUAAAGGAUUAUUGUAAAAGCUUGCAGAGAUUACAGACUGUGAAGCAGAGAUACUAUAAUGAAAACAGGCAUUACAUUACUCAAUGGGUGUGGAUGUAGCACCAAACUGCUGAUGUUAAGAGUAGUCAUUAUGUGCCACACCAACAGAAACCUAUCGAAUGCAAUUGGUGCAGAAAGCAAAGCUGAUCAAGUUUAUCAUUCAAUUCUCAACUGCCUGAAGGGUUUCAAGCUUGAUGCAAUAAGCAGGUUCUCAUGAUGUUUUCUAUUCAGAUCAACAUGAUGGAGCAAGUUUCUUUGACUUUUAUGUUAGAAAGUAUCAUUACCAUGUUCUUUUGUGGUCUCCCACAAUCAA